rnacentral:rRNA from 1 species
UAACGAAUCUUCCGCAAUGCACGCAAGUGUGACGGAGCGACGCCGCGUGUGGGACGAAGUCCUUCGGGAUGUAAACCACUGUCAGGGGUUACCAAGUUCUGAGGAACCCCAGAGGAAGGCACGGCUAACUCUGUGCCAGCAGCCGCGGUAAGACAGAGGUGCCGAGCGUUAGGCGGAAUCACUGGGCUUAAAGCGUGUGUAGGCGGGCCGUUAAGUGUCUUGUGAAAUCCCCCGGCUCAACCGGGGAAUUGCUGGGCAUACUGGCGGUCUUGAGCAAUCUAGGGGCAGAUGGAACAAGUGGUGGAGCGGUGAAAUGCGUAGAUAUCACUUGGAACGCCAAAGGUGAAGACAGUCUGCUGGGGAUUUGCUGACGCUGAGACACGAAAGCCAGGGGAGCGAACGGGAUUAGAUACCCCCGUAGUCC